GAGGAUAUAUAUAAUUUGAACAAUACAGAAUGCCUGAGAGCCUUAUUGCAAUGUAUUCCAGUAUGUUUUUAUAUU